ACAGUGCACGUGAAAAACAGAUUGUGAGCAGACAUCAGCAAGAAGAGGAUGAAGGAGCAAUGGAAGCUAUUGUUGCAAACCACAUGAAGGGCGCCAUUUUGAGUAACUGCAGAGUGUUGCCAGGAGCAACACCCACAAAAUGAACAGCAGUAUUUCCUUCCGAUGAUGAGGAUCAACCACUCUCGCCAUGAUAGUGUCUCAUUUUCUUGUCUGUUAUUCACAAGACAAAAAGACUCCAACUAUUUGCAACCUGGUAAUGUAGUUUUCUUGUAACUUUAGGUUCAAUCCUGGAUAUAACAUUCAGACUU
rnacentral:lncRNA from 1 species